AUUGAACGCUGGCGGCAUGCUUUACACAUGCGAGUCGAACGGUAACAGGCCGCAAGGUGCUGACGAGUGGCGAACGGGUGAGUAAUGCAUCGGAACGUGCCCAGUCGUGGGGGAUAACGCAGCGAAAGCUGUGCUAAUACCGCAUACGAUCUAUGGAUGAAAGCGGGGGACCGUAAGGCCUCGCGCGAUUGGAGCGGCCGAUGUCAGAUUAGGUAGUUGGUGGGGUAAAGGCUCACCAAGCCAACGAUCUGUAGCUGGUCUGAGAGGACGACCAGCCACACUGGGACUGAGACACGGCCCAGACUCCUACGGGAGGCAGCAGUGGGGAAUUUUGGACAAUGGGCGCAAGCCUGAUCCAGCAAUGCCGCGUGCAGGAAGAAGGCCUUCGGGUUGUAAACUGCUUUUGUACGGAACGAAGAGGUUUGGGUUAAUACCCUGGGCCGAUGACGGUACCGUAAGAAUAAGCACCGGCUAACUACGUGCCAGCCGCCGCUGUAA
rnacentral:rRNA from 1 species